AAAAACUAGGCACUAUUUAUGAAAUUGGACCAAUAAAUAGUAUAGUACCAUUUAGUUUCAUAAAUAGUGUUUAGUUUCAUAAAUAGUGUAUAGGUCCUCCACGUUAGUUUUUUUUUUUUUCUAUUCUUUUAUUAAAAUUUAAGUUCUUUUGUCCUUUUUAUUAAAAUUUAAGGGUUUUUCAUUCAAAUUGAAUGCUUUUUCAUGAAAUAAAC
rnacentral:lncRNA from 1 species